CUAUCUUAGUGGCGGACGGGUGAGUAACGCGUGGGUAACCUGCCUUGCACUGGGGGAUAACACUUAGAAAUAGGUGCUAAUACCGCAUAACAGUAGGAGACGCAUGUCUUUUACUUGAAAACUCCGGUGGUGUAAGAUGGACCCGCGUCUGAUUAGCUUGUUGGCGGGGUAACGGCCCACCAAGGCAACGAUCAGUAGCCGGCCUGAGAGGGUGAACGGCCACAUUGGGACUGAGACACGGCCCAAACUCCUACGGAAGGCAGCAG
rnacentral:rRNA from 1 species